rnacentral:piRNA from 1 species
UAGGACUCAAUGUGCUCUUACACAGGGAC